rnacentral:rRNA from 1 species
CCCUUAGAUGUUCUGGGCUGCACGCGCGCUACACUGAAGCUAUCAAUACGUUUUCCCUCCCUGAGAAGGGCGGGUAACCUUUUGAAUCAGCUUCGUGGUAGGGAUCGGGGCUUGCAAUUGUUCCCCGUGAACCAGGAAUUCCUAGUAGACGCGAGUCAUAAGCUCGCAUCGAUUAAGUCCCUGCCCUUUGUACACACCGCCCGUCGCUACUACCGAUUGAACGUUUUAGUGAGGCAUUUGGACCGACGCAUCUCAGUUUAACCGCUGGUUUGUGUUGGAAAGACUUCCAAACUUGAGCGUUUAGAGGAAGUAAAAGUCGUAACA